rnacentral:rRNA from 1 species
GAUGAACGCUGGCGGCGUGCCUAAUACAUGCAAGUCGAACGCUUCACUUCGGUGAAGAGUGGCGAACGGGUGAGUAAUACAUAAGUAACCUGGCAUCUACAGGGGGAUAACUGAUGGAAACGUCAGCUAAGACCGCAUAGGUGUAGAGAUCGCAUGAACUCUAUAUGAAAAGUGCUACGGGACUGGUAGAUGAUGGACUUAUGGCGCAUUAGCUGGUUGGUAGGGUAACGGCCUACCAAGGCGACGAUGC